UUAAUGAAAUCUCCUUUGAAGGAGGAGAGGAGAGAGAUUGUUUCGUCGGAAUGGCGAUCCCAAUUCAAUUCAAAUUUCUCGCUCUCUCUCCCGCUCUCCUCUCGCCCUCCUCUUUUGGAAUGGCGACACCACCACCACGUCGCCGACGCCGAUCUCGUCCCGAACAAGGAGCCGAGAGAUCGUUGUCUUGUCGGCCAACAUUCGGGGUACCGCCGCCACUGCUGCCUCAGACCCGCCCCGGCCCAAAUUCCCGACCGACGAAAAGCUUGGGUCCACUCCACUGACCUCAAUUCAAUCUCCCCAUCUUUGGUCGAUUUGAGCGGGAUAAUAAGAUCAUGGCCAUAUUUAUGCCCAGAAGAGAGACUUAUGUCCACCUGAGCGCAUAGCUGCGAGACCUUUUAUGAGUGGAGAUGAUAAGGGUGUCCUCAUCGUAAUAAUUUUAAAGAAGCGGAACUACUUUCCUGGAUCAACAAUGGCUGUUUUCGCAUUUGGGAGCUGUAGGGCUUGCAGUACCUGGACCGCAUGAGGGGUACAAUUUUUAAUUACUCGAAGGCAUUUGAUGGAGGUAGUUUCUUUGGAAAGGGCGAUAAUACUACAGGGACAAAAGAAACCAAAUCUUGCAGUUCUGUAGAUCAUGUCCAUAUUUAUGCCCCGAAGAGAGACUUAUGCCCACCUGAACGCAUAGCUGCAAGACCUUUUAUGAGUGGGGAUGAUAAGAGUGUCCACCGCCCUUUUAAAGAAGAGGAACUACUUUCCUGGAUCAACGGUGGCUGUUUUUGCAUAUGGGAGCUGUAGGCCUUGCAGUGAGUCUCUUUCCCUUUUCUGUCGAUGAUCAUGGUGGUGUUUUUGAAAUGGGUGUUUCCUUGUGGGUUGGUUCUUGAGAAUUUAAAUAAUCGUGCCCUUGUGUUGAUAUUUUCAAUCUGAUGUUGAACCCAAUUUUCUUUUGAUUGUUUGAAAAUGUAUGAAAUUUAUUAAAAUGACCGAUCUGAUUUCUAAUAGAAAGCCAAGUGCUUUUUGGGUUUAA